UACGGAGGGGGCUAGCGUUGUUCGGAAUUACUGGGCGUAAAGGGCGCGUAGGCGGCGCGAGAAGUCGAGUGUGAAAGCCCCGGGCUCAACCUGGGAAUUGCGCUCGAUACUCUUGUGCUUGAGUUCGGGAGAGGAGCGUGGAAUUCCCAGUGUAGAGGUGAAAUUCGUAGAUAUUGGGAAGAACACCGGUGGCGAAGGCGGCGCUCUGGACCGAGACUGACGCUGAGGCGCGAAGGCGUGGGGAGCAAACAGG
rnacentral:rRNA from 1 species